UUCAUGCCGGGGAUUUUAUCGGGGCCCAAAGGUGCUGGGAGGAAAUGAUCCGGCUCAACUCCGGAGGGAAGCCACAGAUGGGCUUGACCUUUUGCGGCGUGUCAAGCAAAGGUGGUUGUGAAAAGUACAGCGAUCCUAAUUUAGUUGCUGUGGGUCUCAACAAAGAGCAAAUGAGCCAUCUUCCAUUCAAGGUGCUGCUACACACGCAAGUGUGCAACCGCACACGGUAAUGUCUCAACUUGACCUUUUAAGGCGGCCUCCUAUCUGCUCAAUGGACUUCUGAGUGUUUGACCCUGGCCUUUUCAGCACCUCGGGUGUCCUCCAUCUGCAGGCUUGGUGGACGUCAGCACAAUGUUGCCCGAACGGUAAUUAGUGUAUUUGUCUAAUUGUUAAAUAUUCCAAAGUGCGUGAUCAUUUCAUAUGUGAUCAUAUACUGUGAUCCACAUCCUCCAUGUGAUGAAGACUACUUGUACAGUCGGCGAUUUAAGGCAGAAUAAUUACCAUAUAGAAUCAUAGCGGCCUUUUUUGCUCAAGGGUCACGCUUCAGAUGGGUCAUUGGUCAUUCCUGGAUGAAGUUGAAAAAAAAAAGGGGCAAAAUAUGUGAGCAAAAAUGUUUGCAAAAUAUUUUAAUAAU